GACGAAGGAUGCAAGCGUUAUCCGGAUUCAUUGGGUUUAAAGGGAGCGUAGGUGGCCUUAUAAGUCAGUGGUGAAAUCUCUGGGCUUAACCCAGAAAUUGCCAUUGAUACUGUAGGGCUUGAGUACAGUUGCUGUGGGCGGAAUAUGACAUGUAGUGGUGAAAUACAUAGAGAUGUCAUAGAACACCGAUUGCGAAGGCAGCUCACAAAACUGUAACUGACGCUGAGACGCGAAAGCGUGGGGAGCAAACAGG
rnacentral:rRNA from 1 species